AUUGAACGCUGGCGGCAGGCCUAACACAUGCAAGUCGAGCGGAUGAAGAGAGCUUGCUCUCUGAUUCAGCGGCGGACGGGUGAGUAAUGCCUAGGAAUCUGCCUGGUAGUGGGGGACAACGUUUCGAAAGGAACGCUAAUACCGCAUACGUCCUACGGGAGAAAGUGGGGGAUCUUCGGACCUCACGCUAUCAGAUGAGCCUAGGUACGAUUAGCUAGUUGGUGAGGUAAAGGCUCACCAAGGCGACGAUCGUUAACUGGUCUGAGAGGAUGAUCAGUCACACUGGAACGGAGACACGGUCCAGACUCCUACGGGAGGCAGCAGUGGGGAAUAUUGGACAAUGGGCGAAAGCCUGAUCCAGCCAUGCCGCGUGUGUGAAGAAGGUCUUCGGAUUGUAAAGCACUUUAAGUUGGGAGGAAGGGCAGUAAGUUAAUACCUUGCUGUUUUGACGUUACCGACAGAGUAAGCACCGGCUAACUUCGUGCCAGCCGCCGCAGUAA
rnacentral:rRNA from 1 species